rnacentral:rRNA from 1 species
GUUAAAAAGCUCGUAGUCGGAUUUCAUGCAGAGAAGUAUAUUUGGCCCUUUGGGUUACAAAGAAACCAUUUCUGCAUUCUUUUGCUGUUACUGCGUUCUCUCACUUUAUUGUGCGAAGCGUAUGUUCGGCAUCUUUUACUUUGAGAAAAUUAGAGUGUUCAAAGCAGACAUUUUUGUCUUGAAUAUUACUCAUGGAAUAAUAAUAUAUGACUUCGGUCUUCCUUUGUUGGUGUUUGUAGGCUGGAGUAAUGAUUGAUAGGGACAGUUGGGGUCAUUAGUACUUCUUAGCGAGAGGUGAAAUUCUUAGACCUUAGAAAGACUAACCACUGCGAAAGCAUUUGACAAGGAUGUUCCCGUUGAUUAAAAACGAAAGUUGAGGGAUCGAAGACGAUCAGAUACCGUCGUAGUCUCAACCAUAAACUAUGCCAGCUAGGGAUUGGGAGAGGCCUAAUUUUACAAAGACUCUCUCAGCACCUUAUGAGAAAUCAAAGCAUUUGGGUUCCGGGGGGAGUAUGGUCGCAAGGCUGAAACUUAAAGGAAUUGACGGGAGGGCACCACCAGGAGUGGAGCCUGUGGCUUAAU